rnacentral:rRNA from 1 species
ACUUUCCGCAAGUACGUCCGUGUGGUUUGCCUGCUGCCCGCCUUGCCCCGCGACUGAAAACAAUGUCACCGGUCUGCCCCCGAAGCAGGCGACACCGUAUCGUUGCUGCCACGCCCGGAGCCCUCGUCGACCGCGGGCCUCUUUGGCACAUCAGCAUCCGGGGAGAGGUCAGCAGACACCCCCCGGUCCACAGAUCAUGUGGCGGUGAUCCCUUGUGUCAGCAAGGGUUUGAGAGAUGAUCGGCCGGCCGCCUCAGGGCGCCCGUUUGCUGCGGAACCUGCGGAAGGAUCAUUACCGAGAGAGGCCCUCCGGGGUCAACCUCCCACCCGUGAUUACGUACCGAUGUUGCUUUGGCGGGCGGCAGGCCUGUGCCUGCCCACGCCCGUCAGAAGCCCCUCAAACCACCAGUUAAACCCCUGCCGUCUGAGUUCAAAGGUAAUAAUCAAAACUUUCAACAACGGAUCUCUUGGUUCCGGCAUCGAUGAAGAACGCAGCGAAAUGCGAUAAGUAAUGCGAAUUGCAGAAUCCGUGAGUCAUCGAAUCUUUGAACGCACAUUGCGCCCUUUGGUAUUCCGAAGGGCAUGCCUGUUCGAGCGUCAUUAUCACCCCUCAAGCUCCGGCUUGGUGUUGGGCUUUAGGCGGUUUUAACCAACCGCCGGCCUCAAAAAUAGUGACGGCGCCCCAGAUGGAACCGGUACGAGGAGCUUUUAUUCGAGCAUGUACGCGGCGUGAAUCUGCGGGCGGCGGUCUUUAACCACUACUCUUCGGAGUAUUUUCUAAGUGUUGACCUCGGAUCAGGUAGGGAUACCCCGCUGAACUUAAGCUAUA